UACAGUAAGGUCAAUGCACGUGGGCAACUCAGCUCACCAGCUCGCAUGUACCCAGCACAAUGGAUGCGGUAGCCCUGGCCCUGAGUCACUUCUUUCAAAUGAAUUGAGCUGUUUUCUGCAUGCAAGAGCAUCUGCUGAGCUCCUGAGCACCUCCUUACAGACAGCACUGGGAAGCACCAGCUGCAAGAAAGGCCCAAAGCUGAAUCAAAAUCCAGAGCAUCUCUGUGCAUAACUACAGUGAAGCAGCUUCAUGUGCCUACAGAAGAGUGAAAGUCCACAGCACUUGAACAAUGGAGUUGGACUCGAUGGUCCUUAUGGGUCCCUUCCAACUUGGGUUUUCUAUGAUUCUCUGUCAAUGUUAUUAAGCUUAGUGAAAGAACAGGCUGAAAAUGGGGCUGUAGCACCAAAAAGAAUGAACAUUUCCCUAUACAGAAAGAGAGGAAGCAUGGAAAUAGCUGCUCCCUGCUCCUGUGAAAGCAGGUUACAGCAAGAAAAGGCAUUUUAAAUGGCACCAGAGUUUUUGAGUACUGUCGAAUAUUUACAAAGGCAAAAGCAAAGCACAAAAAGACCACUCAGUGUGCUCGAGGUAACAAAGCAAUCGUGAGAUGCAGCAGGUAACCGAGCUGGGUCUGUGGAGCCCGAGCAUCUGCUGUAACUCCUGGAUCAUCUUUCUUCUGUAUUGCAUUUGCUCAGCGUGGUGAUAAAAAUAUGUCUUCCUCCAGAGGCAGAUUGACCGCGUAAUGCUGAGCGCAGAUGAUGAGGUUUUGCGUUUGUUUAUGAUGAUACACACAAACAAAAUACCUGUCUUGCAAAAUAGUUUGGCUGCCGUCCACGGCAAAAUAACCAUUAGGCAGAAAGCGAGCCUAAAGAGCUCCUUCCCUUCAGCCACCAGAACAAAGUAAUUAAAAGCCACAUGGCAUCCGCCUGUCCACUUGGCAGCGGUGCUGUGGGUAGGGCUAUGGGCACAGCAGAGCUGAUCAGCAAAAGGUGGCAACUUGGAAACAUCCCAUCAAACCUACAUGUGUUCCCCUCCACCCCCCCACGCCUCCUUCUACAUGCAGUUAUCCCAGAGGGGAUCUUCAGCAGAACGCAGUUGUGUUGGGAGGCACCGUUUCAAAGAGAGGACGCACGACAUAAAAGCAAUAUUUGCUGCUCCACUUCAGAGAGCUCCUGUUUGAGUUCAGGAGGGAUAAGAGGGAAAGUCGGGGCCACUGCUGGGGAGCAGGCGAGGUGAGCGUGGGUGGCAGUGGGGUGGGCUCAGGACGGGGGUGAGAGCAACCAGCAGCAGUGC